UGGGGCUGCGGCUCACGGGGAGAGCACUUGCCUCGUAUGUGAGAGGCACUGGGUUCAAAUCUCAGCACCGCAG
rnacentral:tRNA from 1 species